AGCGAACGCUGGCGGCAGGCCUAACACAUGCAAGUCGAACGAACCUUUCGGGGUUAGUGGCGGACGGGUGGGUAACACGUGGGAACGUGCCCUUAGGUUCGGAAUAACUCAGGGAAACUUGUGCUAAUACCGAAUGUGCCCUUCGGGGGAAAGAUUAAUCGCCUUUAGAGCGGCCCGCGUCUGAUUAGCUAGUUGGUUGAGGUAAUGGCUCACCAAGGCGACGAUCAGUAGCUGGUCUGAGAGGAUGAUCAGCCACAUUGGGACUGAGACACGGCCCAAACUCCUACGGGAGGGAGCAGUGGGGAAUCUUGCGCAAUGGGCGAAAGCCUGACGCAGCCAUGCCGCGUGAAUGAUGAAGGUCUUAGGAUUGUAAAAUUCUUUCACCGGGGACGAUAAUGACGGUACCCGGAGAAGAAGCCCCGGCUAACUUCGUG
rnacentral:rRNA from 1 species